GCCCUUCGCUUAACCUCGGAAACAGAACUAAUCUUUCGCCUAUUACUAAACAUUACCGUGGAGGUAAGCAUUACAAUAAGCCUAUAGGCAAUUUUUGAAAUCCCGCUUCCCCCGGGAU